GCACCAUAACUUACUUUAUUAGCAUAACACCCGCAGGUAUGUGAAUUAACACUUCCUGAUUGCUUAAACUAAGUUUAUAAUCACCGGUGUGUGAAUGAGAAGAGUGCACUGAAAUAAAGACUGAGGAUUUGAUAGAAAGUUUAAUAAUCAUUUAAUACUAGUGUAUGUUUAAUGUAAGGAGCCUGUAUUGAGGUAUCAUUAUUUCUUCGUCAAAUGGAAGAUAUAAAACGCCUGAAACUGCAGUAUGAUGCUGCUAUGGCCAAUCAAGAAGUAGUCCAGCAACAACUAAACAUACACCGCUUUCUCAGAGGCCGACUAAGGUGGAGAAGAGGAGCCAGAGCACGUUAUAUAUGGAGAAGACCAUGGCUGCUUUCCGGGAGACGGCGCCAAUUUGGAAUCUAUGAUCAGCUCAUGGUUGAGCUCAGAAGUGAAGAUCCUGGAACAUUUAAGAAAUCGCUCCGCAUGCCUACUGAAAUGUACGAUACAAUUUUGGGAAGGUUCGUCAUCGCCUCGUAAAGCAACACAUUCGGUUCAGGGAGCCCUUGGAUCCAGGGCUUAAGUUAGCUGUCACACUACGUUACCUGGUUUCUGGUGUCAAGUAGACAUGCAGUAUUCCUGGCGGGUCGCUGAGAAUACCCUCUCUGUAGUAGUCAGAGACGUGUGUCAUGCUUUUUGUGAAGAAUAUGUUGAUGAGGUUAUAACAGUCCCCUCCACACCUGAAGAAUGGAGACAACUGGCUGAUGGUUUCCUCAAGAAUUGGAACUUUUCAAAUUGCGUUUCUGCUAUUGAUGGCACGCACAUAGCUAUCCGAAAGCCUGUCAGCUCUGGUUCCUUAUAUUAUUAUUAUAAGGUAUUCUAUAGCAUCAUCUUACUGGCCAUUGUCGACUCGGACUACAAGUUCGUAUGGUGUGAUCUGGGUUGUGGGUAUUAGUCUACAUAAAUUUAACUGCAUUAUUUUGUAAUUACAUGAAUUAUAUACAUUUAGUUUUCAAUGUACAGUUGUAUACUGACAAUUUCUAAUCCUUUUGUAUUUUCAGGAUACGGUUCAAGUGGAGAUGCCAAGAUUUGUAAUGAAUCAGAAAUCCUUUAGAUAUUGCAGGAUGGUUCCAUUGGAUUUCCAGACUCACAGCCCUUUCCAAAUGACAACGUCGACAUCCCCUAUUUCUUGGUUGGAGAUGACGCUUUCAGUCUUAGCGAGAACAUGCAGACACCCUAUUGACAUAGAGUCCUGAGAGAGACGAAAGCAUCCUGAACUACCGGUUAUCCAGGGCUAGGAGAGUAUCAGAAAAUGUAUUUGGGAUUUUGGCCAACCGAUUCCAGAUACUUCUCACAAAGAUGAACCACAGCCCAUCCACAGUAAGGCUGAUUGUAAAGACAUGCUGCAUUCUCCACAACUUGAUGAGGAUCAGGUACCCCACCAUGCAGAAUGUACUGGUUGCACUGGUUGACCAUGAUGAUAGAAGAGGCGAUCUGGUUCCUUGGGAAUGGAGAAGAGGUCGCAACUUGUAGGAUACCAAGGAUGUCAAUAUCAGGGACCACAACACAGGAAUAAAUCAAAGCGCUGAAGCCACUGAAGAUGUUCGCUAUUGCAUACUUUAACACGCAUUUCAUUUUUGAAAAUCAAUCGCAAGUUUGAAAUGAACACACGCCAUUCAACUUUAUAAAGUGUGUGUCAUAGCGCACGGGUCGAGUUUUGUGUGCACUUUUUAUCAUCCUUAUUAUUUCAUAGAAAUAACUAAGACAAAAUAAAAACAACAUGCUUUUUGGAAGUUCUGAAAGCAUAGAAAAGUAUGACGAAAAUGGUAAUGAGAACUUAAUAUAAAGAAAAUUUGCAGUCACCAUCAUAUUAAAGGAACAUUUUUUUCUAAUAUCAAAGACUAUCUCACCAAGAAUAUAAAUUCAUGAUGAAAGUUCCGUGUACAAAACUUUUGAUUUUUGACACCAUAUACAAAUUCAAAAUAUACAAUAAUCUUCGUAUCUUGUAUAUGGAGGAAUAAAAGUAUAUAAACAUUA